rnacentral:rRNA from 1 species
GGUUUGAUCAUAGCUCAGAUUGAACGCUGGCGGGAUGCUUUACAUGCAAGUCGAACGGCAGCACGGACUUCGGUCUGGUGGCGAGUGGCGAACGGGUGAGUAAUGUAUCGGAACGUGCCUAGUAGCGGGGGAUAACUACGCGAAAGCGUAGCUAAUACCGCAUACGCCCUUCGAGGAAAGCGGGGGACCUUCUGAGCCUCGCACUAUUAGAGCGGCCGAUAUCGGAUUAGCUAGUUGGUGGGGUAACGGCUCACCAAAGGCGACGAUCCGUAGCUGGUUUUGAGAGGACGACCAGCCACACUGGGACUGAGACACGGCCCAGACUCCUACAGGAGGCAGCAGUGGGAAUUUUGGACAAUGGGGAAACCCUGAUCCAGCCAUCCCGCGUGUACGAUGAAGGCCUUCGGGUUGUAAAGCACUUUUGGCAGGAAAGAAACGGCACGGGAUAAUACCCCGUGCAACUGACAUUACCUGCAGAAUAAGCACCAGCUAACACGUGCCAGCAGCCGCGGUAAUACGUAGGGUGCAAGCGUUAAUCGGAAUUACUGGGCGUAAAGCGUGCGAGCGGUUCGGAAAGAAGAUGUGAAAUCCCAGAGCUUAACUUUGGAACUGCAUUUUUAACUACCGAGCUAGAGUGUGUCAGAGGAGGUGGAAUUCCGCGUGUAGCAGUGAAAUGCGUAGAUAUGCGGAGGAACACCGAUGGCGAAGGCAGCCUCCUGGGAUAACACUGACGCUCAUGCACAGCGUGGGGAGCAAACAGGAUUAGAUACCCUGGUAGUCCACGCCCUAAACGAUGUCAACUAGCUGUUGGGGCCUUCGGGCCUUGGUAGCGCAGCUAACGCGUGAAGUUGACCGCCUGGGAAGUACAGUCGCAAGAUUAAAAGCUCAAAGGAAUUGACGGGGACCCACACAAGCGGUGGAUGAUGUGGAUUAAUUCGAUGCAACGCGAAAACCUUACCUACCCUUGACAUGUCUGGAAUCCCGAAGAGAUUUGGGAGUGCUCGCAAGAGAACCGGAACACAGGUGCUGCAUGGCUGUCGUCAGCUCGUGUCGUGAGAUGUUGGGACAGGGUCCCGCAACGAGCGCAACCCUUGUCAUUAGUUGCUACGAAAGGGCACUCUAAUGAGACUGCCGGUGACAAACCGGAGGAAGGUGGGGAUGACGUCAAGUCCUCAUGGCCCUUAUGGGUAGGGCUUCACACGUCAUACAAUGGUCGGGACAGAGGGGUCGCCAACCCGCGAGAGGGGCCAAUCCCAAGAAACCCGAUCGUAGUCGGAUCGCAGUCUGCAACUCGACUGCGUGAAGUCGGAAUCGCUAGUAAUCGCGGAUCAGCAUGUCGCGGUGAAUACGUUCCCGGGUCUUGUACACACCGCCCGUCACACCAUGGGAGUGGGUUUUACCAGAAGUAGUUAGCCUAACCGUAAGGAGGCGAUUACCACGGUAGGAUUCAUGACUGGGGUGAAGUCGUAACAAGGUAA